rnacentral:tRNA from 1 species
GGGGAUUUAGCUCAGUGGCAUAAGCAUGUGCCUUGCAAGCGCAAGGUCAUGAGUUCAAUCCCCG